CAGUUUUGGCGGAGCCAUCCUUGGGAUACCACCCUUGUAGUACUGGGACUCUAACCAUAGGCCAUGAAUCUGGUCUUGGGACACUGUCAGGUGGGCAGUUUGACUGGGGCGGUCGCCUCCCAAAAGGUAACGGAGGCGCUCAAAGGUUCUCUCAGUACGGUCGGAAAUCGUACGUAGAGUGUAAAGGCAAAAGAGAGCUUGAUUGCAAGACAUACAGGUCGAGCAAGGAUGAAAAUCGGACUUAGUGAUCCGGUGGUUCUGCGUGGAAGGGCCAUCGCUCAACGGAUAAAAGCUACCCUGGGGAUAACAGGCUUAUCUCCCCCAAGAGUCCACAUCGACGGGGAGGUUUGGCACCUCGAUGUCGGCUCAUCACAUCCUGGGGCUGUAGUAGGUCCCAAGGGUUGGGCUGUUCGCCCAUUAAAGUGGUACGCGAGCUGGGUUCAGAACGUCGGGAGACAGUUCGGUCCCUAUCCGUCGCAGGCGUAGGAAAUUUGAGAAGACCUGUCCUUAGUACGAGAGGACCGGGAUGGACGUACCUCUGGUGUACCAGUUGUCCUGCCAAGGGCAUGGCUGGGUAGC
rnacentral:rRNA from 1 species